rnacentral:rRNA from 1 species
GAUGAACGCUGGCGGCGUGCUUAACACAUGCAAGUCGAACGGAAAGGCUCCUGCUUGCAGGGGUACUCGAGUGGCGAACGGGUGAGUAACACGUGGGUGAUCUGCCCUGCACUUCGGGAUAAGCCUGGGAAACUGGGUCUAAUACCGGAUAGGACGAUGGUUUGGAUGCCAUUGUGGAAAGUUUUUCGGUGUGGGAUGAGCUCGCGGCCUAUCAGCUUGUUGGUGGGGUAAUGGCCUACCAAGGCGUCGACGGGUAGCCGGCCUGAGAGGGUGUACGGCCACAUUGGGACUGAGAUACGGCCCAGACUCCUACGGGAGGCAGCAGUGGGGAAUAUUGCACAAUGGGCGCAAGCCUGAUGCAGCGACGCCGCGGGGGGGAUGACGGCCUUCGGGUUGUAAACUCCUUUCGCUAGGGACGAAGCGCAAGUGACGGUACCUGGAGAAGAAGCACCGGCUAACUACGUGC